GGCCACGCGGCCUCCCCUGGAGCCAGUAAGAGAGAGUGGCCGCAGCAAGCGGGCUGGGACCCUGAGAGCGGAAUUGGAGCUGGGCUGGUGGAACCCGGGGCGGUCCCUGAGCUUCUUUCUGUCCCCGUGCUGGUGGGGGUCCAUGGCGCAGAAGGUGCUGGCGGGGAGAAGCGUGUCACCCAGAGAUCGGCAGGCCCUGGCAGACGGCGGGCCACAGUGACACUUGCUCCAGCUGCGUGCACCUCUGAAUCAAAGACCCAGCAGGUUCCUCACGUGGGGGCAGAUGUCCUGUAUUGAUGUGCCACUUGGAGCCCCCAGCCUAGAAACGUGGAUGCCUGGCCACUCGCAGAUCGCCAAGCCCAGUCCUCCGAGUCAGAAAUGUUGAUUUGUUUCAGUAACGUGAGCAUGGGGGAGGGUGGGGCGGAAGAGAGGAAAGUGAGCAAGAGAGACAGUGAGUCAAAAACCAUGAAGCUGACUGAGACAGAGACUGGGAGAGACAGACACACUCAGCAGGAGAACCACCGAGAAAGAACAAACAACACAGAGAGGCUAAUAAUACUAAGGGAUGGAGCCCGAGAUGGAAGGACACAAAUUAAGAGCAGGGAAGAGACACAGAGAGAGAAAACCAGACCGAAGAGAGCCAGAUGGAUUGAGAUUAGCAAACAAUAAAAAUAAAAAUAAAUAAUAAGAUCGAGGAAGAGCAAAAGAAAGAUUGAGUAGAAGACAAGACGGGGAGAGUGAGCAAGAGAAAUACCUCCUCCCAAACCCUGUGGUCCAGAGCCCAGAAACUCUCCAAGGCUUUGCCAUAUUUUAGCCAUGAAACCGGGAAACUGGGGCAGCUUUCUCACUGCAGGUCCGGGACGAGCAAGCCUUGUUCGCAUUAUUGCUGGCAUCCCCUGCGAACUGGACAUUAGCCAACAGGAAAUUCCUGGGAGAAAUCUUUCCACUCAGAGUCUUUUAAAACUUUUUAUUUAUUUAUUUUAAUUCCCCCCCCCUUUUUUUUUUUUUCAAGGACGAACAAAAAAAAGAGUGAGGUGGGAAAGGGGGAAGAAAGGAAAAAAGAAAAAGACAUGAUCCACCUGGUAUAAGAAAAACUUAUCUGGCAACAGCCCCGGCCAGGCCAGGGGAAGCUGGGGAUCCAUUGUGUCCGCUGUGUCCAUUCUUCCUCUGGAAGGAUUUAUGACCUCACACUCCCAUGACAUCACAAUGCGUUGCCAUGGCUCCUGCUUUAUUAUCGUAAACAAAGAGCUGUUCCUUGGGACGCUGGCCGUCUGAGCAGGAGGGGGAGAAAGAAGGCUCUGUGUAAUGUGUUUUCUUGGGAAGGCAGCUUGUUCGGAAGUCUGAAAAGCUGCGAAAAUAGUUGUACACAGUUCUCUGCGUGUAGCCUCUGGACAAGGUUAGGACGGGGACAGAGGAAUGAAGUCAGCUCUCCGCUGGAGGACCCUCGGGCUCUGUGUGUUCUCACCGCCAAAGAGCGGCUUCCUGGGUUUCCCUCACCGCUCAGAUAAAGGUUUUCAUUCAUUCGCCACAAAUGCAUUGAGCGCCUACUACGUGCUAGGCGCUGGCAGAUUCUGGUUUCUAGAUGGGUGAGACGCAGGCCCAGGCCCUGCCGCUUGCAAAAACCCGGCAGAGAAGUCACCAGGAAUGUGUAGAGUUGUAAUCUGGGUGAGGAUGAGAAGGAAAUGAGGAUGAGAAGAAUGGGGGAGGAAGCUACUUGGAUGAGCAAUCCAGGAGGGCCUCUCUGAGGAGGUGAUGUUUUAGACAAGACCUGCAGGAAGAGAAGGGGUCGACGGUGAAGAGUGGGAGCAGGUGACAGGGCCCUAAGCGAGGACAGCCGCUCCAGGCUGUGACUGUCAACAUUCAGGUUCCCACCAGGGGUGUCUUCCCACACAUUUUGUAGUAUUUCUUUCUGGCCAACUGACUUCGUGGGGGGGGGGGGGGGGGGCUUGUAAAGAGGAGUCACUUUUGCUGAGUCCGAGUGAGCCUUCUGAACCCUGGCCACAAAAGCGCCCGCCAGCUGCCAUUUCCAGAUGGCAGGGACAGGGGUCUCAGCCCGGAGCUUGGUGCACACAAAUUAGCCAGGAGCAGAAACACCUGUGGGACCCGAGCCCGCUCUCCCUGAGUCAGUUGUGCAGGGAGCAGAUGAUACUCUUCAGCCACAGGGAGGAGAGCGGGAAGGGCAGAGGCAGGGAGGAGGGAGGGGAGCCUGUGGGACAGAUGUGGGCACUGCCGGCUGGUCAGGAGGCCAGAUGGGCAGGCAAGGAGGCCAUCCUCCCCACCCGCCUCCCAGGAGGUGGACCUUGAGGGAGCUGGGACUCGACAUACAACAGAACGCGAGCCACUAGA